GGAGGCGCGGGCGUGCGUGGUGCUCUUUAAAGCGCGUCGGGCACAGGCUCCCACAGACUCGGGGUUCCUCGCGCCCCUCCUGCUUCAUCCCGCAGCCCCGGGCGCCUCCAGUCCAACCUCCGCAGCCUCCCGGCCUCCCCAGCCUCCGGGGCGCAAGGAAUCCCCCCGACCUCGCCGUCAGCUCGUGAACAUGGCGACCCCCACCGGGCCCCGGGUGCCCUGCUCCGAGGCCGCCGUCGCUCGGGCGCUCCUAUUCGGCUGGGUCCUGGUCCGGGUGGCCGGAGCCACAGGCACUACAGAUGUAGUAGUAGCAUAUAAUUUAACUUGGAAGUCAACUAAUUUCAAGACCAUUUUGGAGUGGGAACCCAAACCCAUCAAUCAUGUCUACACUGUUCAGAUAAGGUAAGCUAGGUACCAAAAAAGAAAAAUAAGAUUUUUGCUGUUUCCACUUUCCUGUGCUGAAUAUAAAUGUCUUUAAAGCUGAUUGAUGGAUGAGAUUAUUUAACAGAUAACAAAGAAGAGGGCAUUCAUCGUAAUUUGCUGGCCAGAGCCAUACUCUAUCAAGCCUGCAACAUUUCCAGACCUUAAACUGAUAGAACAUUUUAAUUGUUUUAGGAGAUGAUGGGGAAAUUUGUAAGUGGAGUAUAAGCUGUGGAUAGGAGAACCUUCUUGAGCAAGCCACGGUGGCACUGAUCGCUGAUAAUUCAUUUCAUCUAAGUACACAGCUCUUUUUCCGUGCUGUCUAGACUGCUAGCGGGAUUUAACAUGUUAGAGAAGAGGUGGGGAGGAGUUCAGAUGUAUACAUUGCCCUUAAACAGUGUUUGAUUCAAUAAUCUUUGGAUUCAUGAUUCAAAAUUCGGUUGCAUACAUGAUCUUGGAGGGGAUCAAAUUCAUGACUCACUGAGCAGGAACAGAAUACUCCUCUGUCUGCACCCUGAGCUGUCAGGGCUGCUCUGCUCAUCUGUCCCCAUCCCUGAUUGGCAGCUGUCCCCAAGAGCCCCUAAUUCAGCAUAUUCAAUCUCAAUGUCCUCUUUUUGAUGGUUGUCACCAUAUUCUUAGCAAGUUUUUGGUUUCUGAAAUGUUCUAGGAGGCUUGGUAGAGCUCUUAUUAAGUAGAGGAGAGCAGCUGUGGAAAUUAACACUGCUUGUAAAAGGCACAAAAGUAUCGCUGGCUAAAAUUAAAGGUGCUUUGCUAUUUUGUUUAGCUUGUGUCAAGCCUUUUGUAGCAUUUGGAAUGCAGCUCCUAAGUAUGGAGUGGGGCUUUUAGGUGUUUUUUUGUUUUUGUUUUUUUCCAAAAUCAACUUCAUGACAACCAUUGCCAAGGCAACACGGAAGAGAAUUUGUGUGUGCAUGCAUGCUUGUAUAGAUACAUAGAAAGAUUUAAAGGAAUUUCAUAACUCGAGGUAAUAAUUACGAUUAUGGUCAAACUUGUCAAAUCAGAUUCUGCUGGUUGAGAGUUAGUAAUUCCACUGAUACAGAGCUGAAGUUUACCUGAGUAGACGCUUUCCUUCUGGGUAGUGAAAAUAAGAUUUUAGGAGGAAUGCUUACCUCCGAAAUAUAUUAAGUUUGGUGAACACGAGGAAACAUAUUUCUGAUUUACCAGCUUUUUAAACAUAAGACUUUGUCAACUCAAAGUUCUUGGACUUUGCAAGGCUGUUGUUAUUUAAGUGGACGCAGUCCCCUGUGCAAACAUCCUAGUGCAGAGCUGCCUCUUGGGGGCGCCCGCGGACCCGGGCUGGGGGUGGUUCCCGCCGCACCGGCCGUCUCCACACCUGUGCUGGAGGACGUGUGAGCAGUCCCUCGCCCCUGCCGGAGACUCGCACUCUUCGGCGACCAGCCCACGGGUAAAUGGGAUUCCUGGGUGAAGGGACCGUAGCAAUCAUUUUAUGGAAGAGGAAACUGGCCCUGGGAAGGUGAGGGACUUAUUCAUGACUGCGCUGAUGGGGCUCGCCCAGCAGGGUCGGGUACCACGGUCUACCCAGCGUCGCGCACCACCACCUCCUCAGUGGGUCUCCCCAGGUCUGAUGUGGGGCAUCAAAGCCGGGAGGAGGAAAGAAAGUCAUUCCCACUAGUCUCCUCAGUGCACCUUCCUCCCUCCCGGUUUCCUUCCCUAGAGAAAGCAUCGUGACCUGCAGCUCCUUCUGACCCACCCACCUCACCAUCAGCCUCUCCUCAAACACAGGGCGCCGCUGCUGUGUCUGAAGCCCCUCCUUGGAGCGCCAACUGCCUUUUUCCCCUUUGGAAACAGUGUUCACCGGUGGUUGCAAAGUGUUACUGGCUCAAGCCUUAGCACCGACCCAUCCCUUGUAGUAUUGAUUCCAUGAAACGUUCUGAAUUCUAAAACGGAACUUCCCAAGCUUGUAGAAAACAACUUGCUCCUUAAUUGCCCUAGAUUAGGAAAUUGGAAAAACAAAUGCUUCUACACAACAGACACAGAGUGUGACGUCACUGAUGAGAUCGUGAAAAACGUGAAAGAGACAUACUUGGCGCGGGUCUUUUCCUACCCAUUGGAUGCCAUCAGUUCUACUGGGGAGCCUCCGUUUACCAACUCCCCGGAGUUCACACCUUACCUAGAGACAAACCUUGGACAGCCAACAAUACGGAGUUUUGAACAAGUUGGGACAAAACUGAAUGUGACCGUACAAGAUGCACGUACCUUAGUCAGAGUGAGCGGCACAUUCCUAAGCCUCCGCGAUGUUUUUGGCAAGGACUUGAAUUAUAUACUUUAUUAUUGGAGAGCUUCGAGUACAGGAAAGAAAAAGGCCACGACGAACACUAAUGAGUUUUUGAUUGAUGUGGAUGAAGGAGAAAACUACUGUUUCAAUGUUCAAGCAGUGAUUCCAUCACGAAGAGCUAACCAGAAGAGUCCAGAAAGUCCCAUCGAGUGCACUAGCCAAGAGAAAGUUCUGUCCACGGAAAUGUUCUUCAUCGUUGUAGCAGUGAUGCUUGUGGUCAUCAUCUUCAUCAUCGUCCUGUCUGUGUCUCUGUGUAAGUGCAGGAAGGCGAGAGCAGGGCGAAGUGGGAAGGAGAGCUUGCCCCUCAAUGUUGCAUGAAGGAUUCUGCUUUUGGAUCUGCCAACUCUGCAGAGCUCGUGUUGCACUGUGACCAAGAACAUUUAAGGCAGUAGAAUACAUGGAAACACAAAUGAGUGUUUUGGAGCUUAGAGACCCUUGGGCUCAAAGAAAGCUCUUAUCUGACCUGUUCUCACGAUUGGCAUUCUGGUUUCAACAUCAGCAUUAGACACUUUGGAAUGUAAUGAGCGGUACAACCAAUUUCAAGUUUUUUAAAUUUCUAUUUUAACGCUACAGCAUCUUUUGCACAUAUCAUGCUCUAGACUGUAUAUUUUCUACACUCAAGUUGAAGCCAGAUCAUCUAAGGAAAAACAAAUGAACAAAUGCCCUAAAAAAUCCUGGGUGGAUUUUUGGAGAACUUUUGAGAGGCCGACUUCAAACCAUGUGGGAGAGUAAAAUGGAAACUGGGUGGACUUUCUAACAUAUGUCUGUCCUUUUGUAAUAUGGUGUUUAGGGGGUUUUCUUUGAGUACUUUUGGAGGUUCGAAACAAUUAGCAAACAAACAUUUAUAUGAAUGUGUUAAAAGCAGAAGACUUGUAUUUGGGGCACAUUCAUAACAUGCAUUACAGUUUAGCACUUUAACUGACUUAAAUGCUGUUGAUGAAACACUUGACAGAUAGAUAGCUGUAUUUUUAUAAGACUACUGUACCAACAAAUUACACAGAGUUUAAGAUUUAAGGUACUUCACACUUCAUGAUCAACAUUGUACAUAUUUAUAUAAUUUGAAAAAAGGUUUUAUAUAUGGGGAUUUUUCUAUUUAUAGAGGUAAUAUUGUUCUAUUUGUAUAUAUUGAGAUAAUUUAUUUAAUAUACUUUUAUAUAAAUAAAGGUAACUGGGAAU